rnacentral:rRNA from 1 species
CCACGGGUCGCAGCAGUGAGGAAUAUUGCACAAUGGGGGGAACCCUGAUGCAGCAACGCCGCGUGGAGGAUGACGCAUUUCGGUGUGUAAACUCCUUUUAUAUGUCAAGAAAAUGACGGUAGCAUAUGAAUAAGCACCGGCUAACUCCGUGCCAGCAGCCGCGGUAAUACGGGAGGGUGCAAGCGUUACUCGGAAUCACUGGGCGUAAAGGACGCGUAGGCGGGUUGGAAAGUCAGGUGUGAAAUCCUACAGCUUAACUGUAGAACUGCACUUGAAACUUCUAAUCUAGAUUAUGGGAGGGGGAGAUGGAAUUAGUGGUGUAGGGGUAAAAUCCGUAGAUAUCACUAGGAAUACCUAAAGCGAAGGCGACCUCCUGGAACAUUACUGACGCUAAGGCGUGAAAGCGUGGGGAGCAAACAGGAUUAGAUACCCCAGUAGUC